GACGAACGCUGGCGGCGUGCUUAACACAUGCAAGUCGAACGGAAAGGCCCUGCUUUUGUGGGGUGCUCGAGUGGCGAACGGGUGAGUAACACGUGAGUAACCUGCCCUUGACUUUGGGAUAACUUCAGGAAACUGGGGCUAAUACCGGAUAGGAGCUCCUGCUGCAUGGUGGGGGUUGGAAAGUUUCGGCGGUUGGGGAUGGACUCGCGGCUUAUCAGCUUGUUGGUGGGGUAGUGGCUUACCAAGGCUUUGACGGGUAGCCGGCCUGAGAGGGUGACCGGCCACAUUGGGACUGAGAUACGGCCCAGACUCCUACGGGAGGCAGCAGUGGGGAAUAUUGCACAAUGGGCGGAAGCCUGAAGCAGCAACGCCGCGUGCGGGAUGACGGCCUUCGGGUUGUAAACCGCUUUCGCCUGUGACGAAGCGUGAGUGACGGUAAUGGAUAAAGAAGCACCGGCUAACUACGUG
rnacentral:rRNA from 1 species